rnacentral:tRNA from 1 species
GGGCCUGUGGUCUAAUCGCAUGACGUGACCUUCGCAAGGUCAAGGCUCCGGGUUCAAAUCCCGGCAGGUCCA